GGGACACGUGGUAUCCUGUCUGAAUAUGGGGGGACCAUCCUCCAAGGCUAAAUACUCCUGACUGACCGAUAGUGAACCAGUACCGUGAGGGAAAGGCGAAAAGAACCCCGGCGAGGGGAGUGAAAAAGAACCUGAAACCGUGUACGUACAAGCAGUGGGAGCCUCUUAAUGGGGUGACUGCGUACCUUUUGUAUAAUGGGUCAGCGACUUAUAUUCUGUAGCAAGGUUAACCGAAUAGGGGAGCCGAAGGGAAACCGAGUCUUAACUGGGCGUUAAGUUGCAGGGUAUAGACCCGAAACCCGGUGAUCUAGCCAUGGGCAGGUUGAAGGUUGGGUAACACUAACUGGAGGACCGAACCGACUAAUGUUGAAAAAUUAGCGGAUGACUUGUGGCUGGGGGUGAAAGGCCAAUCAAACCGGGAGAUAGCUGGUUCUCCCCGAAAGCUAUUUAGGUAGCGCCUCGUGAAUUCAUCUCCGGGGGUAGAGCACUGUUUCGGCAAGGGGGUCAUCCCGACUUACCAACCCGAUGCAAACUGCGAAUACCGGAGAAUGUUAUCACGGGAGACACACGGCGGGUGCUAACGUCCGUCGUGAAGAGGGAAACAACCCAGACCGCCAGCUAAGGUCCCAAAGUCAUGGUUAAGUGGGAAACGAUGUGGGAAGGCCCAGACAGCCAGGAUGUUGGCUUAGAAGCAGCCAUCAUUUAAAGAAAGCGUAAUAGCUCACUGGUCGAGUCGGCCUGCGCGGAAGAUGUAACGGGGCUAAACCAUGCACCGAAGCUGCGGCAGCGACACUAUGUGUUGUUGGGUAGGGGAGCGUUCUGUAAGCCUGUGAAGGUGUACUGUGAGGUAUGCUGGAGGUAUCAGAAGUGCGAAUGCUGACAUAAGUAACGAUAAAGCGGGUGAAAAGCCCGCUCGCCGGAAGACCAAGGGUUCCUGUCCAACGUUAAUCGGGGCAGGGUGAGUCGACCCCUAAGGCGAGGCCGAAAGGCGUAGUCGAUGGGAAACAGGUUAAUAUUCCUGUACUUGGUGUUACUGCGAAGGGGGGACGGAGAAGGCUAUGUUGGCCGGGCGACGGUUGUCCCGGUUUAAGCGUGUAGGCUGGUUUUCCAGGCAAAUCCGGAAAAUCAAGGCUGAGGCGUGAUGACGAGGCACUACGGUGCUGAAGCGACAAAUGCCCUGCUUCCAGGAAAAGCCUCUAAGCAUCAGGUAACAUCAAAUCGUACCCCAAACCGACACAGGUGGUCAGGUAGAGAAUACCAAGGCGCUUGAGAGAACUCGGGUGAAGGAACUAGGCAAAAUGGUGCCGUAACUUCGGGAGAAGGCACGCUGAUAUGUAGGUGAAGCGACUUGCUCGUGGAGCUGAAAUCAGUCGAAGAUACCAGCUGGCUGCAACUGUUUAUUAAAAACACAGCACUGUGCAAACACGAAAGUGGACGUAUACGGUGUGACGCCUGCCCGGUGCCGGAAGGUUAAUUGAUGGGGUUAGCGGUAACGCGAAGCUCUUGAUCGAAGCCCCGGUAAACGGCGGCCGUAACUAUAACGGUCCUAAGGUAGCGAAAUUCCUUGUCGGGUAAGUUCCGACCUGCACGAAUGGCGUAAUGAUGGCCAGGCUGUCUCCACCCGAGACUCAGUGAAAUUGAACUCGCUGUGAAGAUGCAGUGUACCCGCGGCAAGACGGAAAGACCCCGUGAACCUUUACUAUAGCUUGACACUGAACAUUGAGCCUUGAUGUGUAGGAUAGGUGGGAGGCUUUGAAGUGUGGACGCCAGUCUGCAUGGAGCCGACCUUGAAAUACCACCCUUUAAUGUUUGAUGUUCUAACGUGGGCCCCUUACCGGGGUUGCGGACAGUGUCUGGUGGGUAGUUUGACUGGGGCGGUCUCCUCCUAAAGAGUAACGGAGGAGCACGAAGGUUGGCUAAUCCUGGUCGGACAUCAGGAGGUUAGUGCAAUGGCAUAAGCCAGCUUGACUGCGAGCGUGACGGCGCGAGCAGGUGCGAAAGCAGGUCAUAGUGAUCCGGUGGUUCUGAAUGGAAGGGCCAUCGCUCAACGGAUAAAAGGUACUCCGGGGAUAACAGGCUGAUACCGCCCAAGAGUUCAUAUCGACGGCGGUGUUUGGCACCUCGAUGUCGGCUCAUCACAUCCUGGGGCUGAAGUAGGUCCCAAGGGUAUGGCUGUUCGCCAUUUAAAGUGGUACGCGAGCUGGGUUUAGAACGUCGUGAGACAGUUCGGUCCCUAUCUGCCGUGGG
rnacentral:rRNA from 1 species